CCAAUCAUUGUGCUGGCUAUGAACGAUAAAGCCCUACAUAGCCUAGGUCCAGGCUAUCUAAAGAAUAGUAUCUUCCCAUGUGGGCCUGAAUAAGAUCUCUCAAUCACAUUACACUCACAGCAUCUUUUAUGAAACCUUGCAACUCUGAAUUCAAUGGAUUUCUGUCACACCUGCCCACCACUGGAAUUUGGCCUCAGGCUUUUCUGCAGAAAGGAUAGAUAUAACCUAGCCUCAGCUGUCUAUCAGGCGUUGUUGGCCGGAGGGCAGGCUCUCCUGUUCCCUCAGUGCAGAAGAGUGGAACUAUUCACUGAAACUACAGGAUUCAAAUUACAAGUAUAUCAACUGAAUAAAGCAUAAAAGGGAAGAAAUACCAGUGGAGUUCUGGUUCGUCUUUCCUUCCACGCUGCACCAUCUCUUAAGGCACUUGGCAAAGGAGAACUGCUGCACACCAAAGCCACUGGCAAAGUCAUAACAUUAAACCCCAUCUGUAUUUUUGAGUCUUUCUAGUUCGCUGUCCACAGCCUUAGUUGGAGCUCACCAAGACAGGCUUCCCCGUGCUCUUCCCAGAGUGCCUUGGGAUCUAUAUCCUGUUUGUUUUUGUUGUUUAGUGUUUUCAAGUAUGCUGUGGCUAAUGGCUACUUUGCUCAGGAACUGACAAUUAUUUCAGCUUUAUUGAUUGGUUGAUGGUUGUUUUAUUUUGCUAUAAUGUUCCUGUUUUAUUCUGUUUUUAUGUUAUUGUCUAUGUACUUACUAUAUAUUAUGUAUGUACUAGUAUGCCGUAUUUUAUAUUUUAACUAUUUGAUUGGGCUCGUCUCUAUGUAACUCGCCCCGAGGCAGGGUACAAAAAUAAAAAUUGUUGUUGUUGUUUUGUAUUUAGAUAAGGUUUUCCGCUACUUUCCUCUAAAGCUGAGAUAAUCUUAUUUCCUGAGAUCAUCCAAGAAGUUUCCAUGGCUGAGUGGCAACUUGAGCUCAGCCCUACUCUAAUACUCAAACCACUCCAACAAACUGGAAGUUGACUUUAUAGUCAUACUGGAGGAUGGUGUACUCUCAGAUUUUUAAAAAAACAAUAGAGGGAUUUUUUAAAAUUCACAUUUUUUCCACAUUCACGAAGGUCCUGCCCCCACCCAACACAGUGAAUGUGGAGUGACAAGUCUGUCCAUGCGAAGCAGGUGGACAUAGCACUGAACGAAACAUGUAGAAUAAUCACAGGAUGCCUUAAACCUACACCUGUUGAUAAACUCUAUAAGAUAGCUGGCAUUGCCCCUCCUGAUGUGCGACGGGAAGUUGCUGCUAACGGUGAGAGAAAUAAGGUUGAACAUUGUGAAGGCCACCCACUGCAUGACUAUCUGCCUCCUCCCAGUAGACUCAGGUCAAGGAGGAGCUUCAUGAGAACCACCACUCCUCUUGAUGUUCCCCCAGCAACAGCAAGAGUGUCCCUCUGGGCAGCUAAACCAGGCAAUUCCAACUGGAUGGCCCCCCAUGAGGGUCUUCCUCCAGGGGCAAACCAAGAAUGGGCAACUUGGAAGUCCCUAAAUAGACUCAGAGUAGGGUGAGCAGAUCAAAAGACAACCUGGCAAGAUGGCACUACCUGGAGGAAUCCUCCACCUUGUGUGACUGUGGAGCAGAACAAACAACUCCUCAUAUGUAUGCUUGCCCCCAAUGCCCUGCCUCAUGCACGGAGGAGGAGUUGUUCAAAGCUACGGACAAUGCAAUUGCUGUUGCCCACUUUUAGUCUAAAACUAUUUAGCUGUUUGUGAUUCCUUUAUUUUAUCGCUUUUAAACUUUUAUUAUGCAAUGCUUUUGACACAAAAUAAAUAAAUAAAUAAAAGGCAGCCCCCAAGCUACAAACAAGAUGGAUUCUGUAGGCUUGUUCUUAAGGUGAAUUUUUAUGUAAGUCGGAACAGGUACAUUUUAAGUAUAACUCCAGCCAAGAGUUUCAAUCUCCUGCAGAAGAUAUAGAUAUAGAGAUAGAUGUAGCUUUGGCUAGCAUAGGAGAGGGAUAACACUCCUGUGGUGUUUGUUUAGCAAUCUGUGCCCCUUUUCAGAAGAUUUCACCUUGGUUUCUGUCCCUGUGAUAUUUGUAAUUGGCAAAAAUGUGGCUUUUUUUGUGGAAACAAGGAUUAGUGAGAAAGCUUCAGUGGAGACACCUUUUCUGCAUGAGAACUCUUUCAGGAGUGGAUUUCCCUUCUGAGGGAUACUUGUCUUACCUCUGUUCUUAACUAUGAGUCGUUAGUAAGUCAGAUGUUUGUAAGCCAGGGACUUCCUGUAUUAGUAGGUGAAAACUUUUUAUGCCAUCAGGCUUUCAGAAUUAAGGUGUUCAAAGAAAGGUUUUUUAAGAGUGUGCUACACUGUUUGUACAAUUUUGGACUGCUUUUAAACAUUUUAAUUAUAUUGUUUAAAUUCCUCCUAGUGUUGUUUUUCAUAUAUUUUCAUGCUGUCUUUGAUAGUUUAAAACUAUGUUGUAUUUGUUUUCAU